UACAGAGACUGCAAGCGUUAUUCGGAUUCACUGGGCGUAAAGGGUGCGCAGGCGGCCGUGUGUGUGAGGCGUGAAAGCCCGGGGCUCAACCCCGGAAUUGCACCUCAAACUACAUGGCUAGAGCAUUGGAGAGGGUAGCGGAAUUCACGGUGUAGCAGUGAAAUGCGUAGAUAUCGUGAGGAACACCUGUGGCGAAAGCGGCGCACUGGACCAUAACUGACGCUGAGGCGCGAAAGCUAGGGGAGCAAACAGG
rnacentral:rRNA from 1 species